rnacentral:RNase_P_RNA from 1 species
UGAGUACAUUGGCUGAUUACACGUAAGUGAGGAAAGUCCGUGCUCCGAAAAAUGACGCUGGAUAACGUCCAGUGGGGGCGACCCUAAGGCAAGUGCAACAGAGAGAUACCGCCUAUUUAUAGGUAAGGAUGGAAAGGUGAAUUAAGAGCUCACCAGCACAUAAGAGAUUAUGUGGCUAUGUAAACCCCGUCAGGAGAAAGAUCAAAUGGGACCGAGAGGUCAGAUGGUAGAUCGCUAGAGCUUUUUGGCAACAAUUAGCCCAGAUUAAUGAUCAGCGAAGACAGAACACGGCUUAUAGAUGUACUCAUAUU